UGAGGGUCUUUUUUUCCAAGAUGCCACUUAGCCCCAUCAAAUGGAUCAAUAAUGACCUCAGCUAUUCAUCUCAGAGAUAACUAAUACUUUUUCCUUCCCCAAAAUCGGAGUCAAAGGAGUUUCUUCUUAGAGCUCCCAAUCACCUCUUUCUUUUCUUUCUUUCUUUCUUUUUUUUUUUUUUUUUUUUUUGAGACAGAGCCUCACUCUGUUGCCCAGGCUGGAGUGCAGUGGAUCAAUCUCUGUUCACUGUAACCUCCACCUCCCCGGUUCAAGUGAUUCUCCUGCCUCAGCCUCCCGAGUAGCUGGGAUUACAGGCACGUGCCAUCAUGCCCAGCUAAUGUUUGUAUUUUUAGUAGAGAUGGGGUUUCACCAUGUUGGCCAGCCUGGUCUGUCUUGAACUCCUGACCUCAAGUUAUCCACCCACCUUGGCCCCGUGAGCCACCAC
rnacentral:lncRNA from 10 species